UACGUAGGGUGCGAGCGUUGUCCGGAAUUAUUGGGCGUAAAGGGCUCGUAGGCGGUCUGUCGCGUCGGGAAGUGAAAACUCAGGGCUUAACCCUGAGCCUGCUUCCGAUACGGGCAGACUAGAGGUAUGCAGGGGAGAACGGAAUUCCUGGUGUAGCGGUGGAAUGCGCAGAUAUCAGGAGGAACACCGUGGCGAAGGCGGUUCUCUGGGCAUUACCUGACGCUGAGGAGCGAAAGCGUGGGUAGCAAACAGG
rnacentral:rRNA from 1 species